GAUCAUGGCUCAGAUUGAACGCUGGCGGCAGGCCUAACAUAUGCAAGUCGAACGGUAACAGGAAGAAGCUUGCUUCUUUGCUGACGAGUGGCGGACGGGUGAGUAAUGUCUGGGAAACUGCCUGAUGGAGGGGGAUAACUACUGGAAACGGUAGCUAAUACCGCAUAACGUCGCAAGACCAAAGAGGGGGGACCUUCGGGCCUCUUGCCAUCGGAUGUGCCCAGAUGGGAUUAGCUAGUAGGUGGGGUAACGGCUCACCUAGGCGACGAUCCCUAGCUGGUCUGAGAGGAUGACCAGCCACACUGGAACUGAGACACGGUCCAGACUCCUACGGGAGGCAGCAGUGGGGAAUAUUGCACAAUGGGCGCAAGCCUGAUGCAGCCAUGCCGCGUGUAUGAAGAAGGCCUUCGGGUUGUAAAGUACUUUCAGCGGGGAGGAAGGGAGUAAAGUUAAUACCUUUGCUCAUUGACGUUACCCGCAGAAGAAGCACCGGCUAACUCCGUG
rnacentral:rRNA from 1 species